AGUUUGAGUUUAAUAAAAGCUUGAGUUGUGUAACUGUGUGACUCUCAUACUCUGCAACUAUACUUCACCAUCAUAACUAUACAAUGUUCUUCAGGGUCACCCAGGGGCAGGCGGUGAGCCUGGUUUGCCAGGAGUAGAUGGCUGUAAUGGGACAAGGGGUCGACCAGGUGUCCCUGGUGUUCCUGGUUUGGAUGGUUUCCAUGGGCCUACAGUGAGAUGUUUACAAAAAUUCACAUUCACCCAAAUUCAAGUUUUUGCCUUGACUUUACUUAGACUGUGAUUGUUUUCAUAGUAACAGUCUAAGUAAAGCCACAAAUUCCACAAAAAAAAGUUUUUGAAAAUAUUAGAUCUAUUUAUAAUUUGUCAAAUGACAGAAUUGACUCUUUUGUUGUCAGGGAUUAACUGGACCUAAAGGAAGUAAAGGAGAACCUUUAUAUGGCACUACCCUCCCUGGACUUCCUGGGGAGCAUGGGAGAACUGGAGAUCUUGGUUUACCUGGAAGACAAGGAGUCCCUGGGCUUAAAGGCCACAUUGGCCCAUCUGGUCAUCCUGGACCUGGGGUAGAACAAAAGUAUUUUAUUUGUAUUUUUAAUAUGUAUGUUAUGACUUAACUAGACAAUUUGAUGUGCGUGUGCGUGUGUGUGUGUGUGUGUGUGUGUGUGUGUGUGUGUGUCUGUGUGUGUUUGAUUCCAUUUAGGGUUUGGAGGGAUCUAAAGGUGUUAGAGGACUACCAGUGAGUUACCUGCCUUACAAUAUUAGGCAGCACAUACUGUAAUAAAAAAAACUGACCUGCACAUGACGCAUGUUUGUCUACACAAACACAAAACCUUACUAAGCUUUUGGUUGUUGUGUAGGGAAACCCUGGAGGAUCGCUGGCAGGUGAUGAAGGUGACGAUGUAAGAAACCAUUUUGGCCUUUCAAAACUACGGACUGAGGUUUUGUUUAGCGCCCCCCCCCUUUUCUCUCUCCCUCUUUAUAUGUUGAAUUAAACUUACAACUCCAGUCGACAUUUUAUUUCUAUAUUUCAGGGUGAACAAGGUCCACCUGGCCCCCCUGGACCAGAAGAAAUUAUAGAAUUUCCUCCAGACUUUCUUCCACUCAAAGGCUACAAGGUGAAGGAAAAAAUCCUCUGUUUUAGAACAAUGCUCAAUUUUUGCU
rnacentral:lncRNA from 1 species